UAGGGAAUAUUGCACAAUGGGGGAAACCCUGAUGCAGCGACGCCGCGUGAGUGAUGAAGGACUUCGGUUUGUAAAGCUCUGUUGUCUGGGAAUAAAUAAAUGAAUGUACCAGACGAGAAAGGGACGGCUAACUUCGUGCCAGCAGCCGCGGUAAUACGAAGGUCCCAAGCGUUGCUCGGAAUCAUUGGGCGUAAAGCGGGCGCGGGUGGCCUCUUAAGUCAAGAGUGAAAGCCCAGGGCUUAACCCUGGAAGUGCUUUUGAUACUGGGAGGCUUGAGUGUGGGAGAGGGUGCUAGAAUACCUAGUGUAGUGGUGAAAUACGUAGAUAUUAGGUGGAACACCGGUGGCGAAGGCGGGUGCCUGGCCCAACACUGACACUUAGGCCCGAAAGCGUGGGGAUCAAACAGG
rnacentral:rRNA from 1 species